GACGAACGCUGGCGGCGUGCUUAACACAUGCAAGUCGAACGAAGUGGCGAGCGGGUGAGUAAUACGUGUGUAACCUGCCCUCCUUUUUGGGAUAAGCCUUGGAAACGUGGUCUAAUACCGGAUAAAGGGGGAUGGGGGCGCGGGCUAUCAGCUUGUUGGUGGGGUGAUGGACUACCGAGGCGGUGACGGGUAGCCGGCCUGGGAGGGUGACCGGACACGUGGGGACAGAGAGACGGCCUAGAGACGUACGGGAGGGGGGAGUGGGGGAAAUGGAAGAAAGGGCGAAGGCCUAAUGCAGCGUGGGGGAGUGGGGGAUGCAGGCUGUAGAGUUGUGAAAAUCGGGAGGAAACGAACCGGUAGCGGGAGAAGAAGCGACGGCUAACUACGUGCCAGCAGCCGCGGUAAUAC
rnacentral:rRNA from 1 species